rnacentral:misc_RNA from 1 species
CUCAGAUUGCUUAAAAUAUUUCACUACUCAAUUGUUGGAUGCAUUACUUGGGUGCGAGCAAUGAACAUCAAUAAUAUCUAAAGAAUAGCAGCAAAAGCAAGUAGCCACACAACGUCUUUAUGACAUGCAGUUUACCAUUUCAAGAUUUAUCCACAAUGAUGGCUAUCAUAAGCUACGAGAAUGAACCUAGCAAGUAUAACAUUUCAAGGAUUAAAUCAAACCUUGAGCACCAAAAAUUCCGCCAUAAAAUUCCUCAUCUAAUUAAACGCAGAGGAGUUUGUUGAAAGGACAUAAGAAAUUUUAAUAAUAGGAAAUAUCC